rnacentral:rRNA from 1 species
UACGAAGGGGGCUAGCGUUGCUCGGAAUCACUGGGCGUAAAGCGCACGUAGGCGGACUCUUAAGUCAGGGGUGAAAUCCUGGAGCUCAACUCCAGAACUGCCUUUGAUACUGAAGAUCUUGAGUCCGGGAGAGGUGAGUGGAACUGCGAGUGUAGAGGUGAAAUUCGUAGAUAUUCGCAAGAACACCAGUGGCGAAGGCGGCUCACUGGCCCGGUACUGACGCUGAGAUGCGAAAGCGUGGGGAGCAAACAGG